AUGGCCAGUAACCUGAAAUUUGUUAUUGGGGCACUGAAAAUAUUAAUAGAAGAAGAUCAGGGAUGUAGAAAAGACUUCCAAGCUAUCUUUGAGCAGGCUAACAUUUUUCAAGACAAAUAUAAAGACAUGAACACAUACAAAGUGAAUAUGGAACAGAAACCUGAUGAAUCAAAUAAAGAAGGCACAUUUUUACCAUUGGCCCCAGAAGAAGAAUUAUUACUAGAACAAUUUAAAAUAAAACCUAAAGAGAUAAAAAAUGAAGAUUUAUCACCAGGGCAAUUAUUAGCCCAAGGGGAUUUCAAUUCAGGUGAGAAAAAUGAGGCCCGGAGAAGAUAUUCAGAUAGUUACCUUCCCAGCUGUGACUUCAUGGCUUCUGGCUCUAAAAUCAAGGCCAAAGAGACCCCAAUAAAAAAAGAAAAAGAAGAAGAUGAAAUAGUAGUGGAGGAAGAGAUUAUUAGCACUGGAAAACCUACAGAGGGAAAGGCUAAAAAGAGAUUUUCCUGGUUCCGCAAUAUCAAAGAACGCAAGCUGUGGAACUUCUUUCAUUUUAAAAAACAUGACAAACAAGUAAAGAAUGUGCACAAGUGGGAAGAAAUUGAUCAAGAGGUAUUGGAAGAUUACUGUCCUUAUUCUACUGAAGCCCCUAAAACAUUGCCAACAGAGUGGACAAAUAUUGAAGUUGGUAAUUGGUUAUGGAGCAUUGGAAUGGAGGAGUAUGUUGUAAAAUUUUAUUGUAAAGGAAUAACUGGUGAAAAACUCCUUACACUGGACAAUCACUCGCUAAAAGAAAUCGAAGUCAACAAGAAGAAAGACCGCCGGAAAAUACUUAAGGCUAUUAAGAAAGUUAGAGAUUUUUGGGAAAAAAAUCAUCAUUUCGUCUUAUUAUAGAAAUUGAUGGAAAGAAGACACAGAACCUGAAAGAUGGCAAAAAUGGAAAAUGCAAUUACUUUUGUUAUAUUGACUUUUCAUCAUUUUACUUCUGUUACUUUUGUUAUAUGAACUUUUAAGGGAUUUUACUUCCAUGUUACUUUUGUUAUAUGAACUUUUAAGGGAUUUUAGUUCCAUGUUACUUUUGUUAUAUGAACUUUUAAUCAUUUUAUUACUGUUACUUUUUUUAUUAUUAACUUUUAAUUAUUUCACUUUCAUGUUACAUUUGUUAUAUGAACUUUUAAGGGAUUUUACUUCCAUGUUAUUUUUGUUAUUAUUAACUUUUAAUCAUUUCACUUCCAUGUUACUUUUGUUAUAUGAACUUUUAAGUGAUUUUACUUCCAUGUUACUUUUGAUAUAUGAACUUUUAAGGGAUUUUACUUCCAUGUUACUUUUGUUAUAUGAACUUUUAAUCAUUUCACUUCCAUGUUACUUUUGUUAUAUAGAACUUUUAAGGGAUUUUACUUCCAUGUUAAUUUUGUUAUAUGAACUUUUAAUCAUUUUAUUACUGUUACUUUUGUUAUUAUUAACUUUUAAUCAUUUCACUUCUAUGUUUCUUUUGCUUUCUUAUUAACUUUUAAUUAUUUCAUUUUUAAGUAAGUAUUAUUUUGAUAGAGGAUAAUUUUUGCACAGGUUAAUAAUUGUUAAUAUCAUACAUAUAACAUAUGAAAAAAAUGGUUAUAAUAAGCACUUAUACUUUUUUAUAAGAACUAAUAUGGAAUUUCCCCCAUAUGAUCAUUUUGUAAGUAGCAAUCAUUCUAAUCUAACAAAAUUUUUAGUUAUUUUUCCUUUUCAACUUUUCAUUGCCACUGCCACCUGCUUUAAAGAAUCUGUCCCAAGUACUCUUUAUUAGUUCAUAAUCCCAGAGAACUCAAUAGGCUUUAGUCAAGCCCUCAUGAUGCUCUGUUACUUUUGUUUCAGAAUCUAUAUAUAAACAAAAGAAAUGCAUAUAAGAAUCUGUACAUAUUAUAGAUUUCCCUUAAGCAUACAUAUUGUUCAUGAGAUCUCCUUAUUACCUUACUUUUUUUUGUCAUAAUCCUCUCCAAAUCAUAUUUUAAGAGCUACAAAGUAUAGUUUUAUAUUCAUCACUCUCUUAUAGAAUUUAGUUUAAAUUUCUAUCAAAGUAUUUUAAAUAACAAUAAAAAUAACUUCAUAAAACUUUCCCCCUUAAAA
ensembl:lncRNA